UACGUAGGGUGCAAGCGUUGUCCGGAAUUAUUGGGCGUGAAGAGCUCGUAGGCGGUCAGUCGCGUCUGCUGUGAAAACUCGGGGCUUAACUCCGGGCCUGCAGUGGGUACGGGCUGACUAGAGUGCGGUAGGGGAGACUGGAAUUCCUGGUGUAGCGGUGAAAUGCGCAGAUAUCAGGAGGAACACCGGUGGCGAAGGCGGGUCUCUGGGCCGUAACUGACGCUGGAGGAGCGAAAGCGUGGGGAGCGAACAGG
rnacentral:rRNA from 1 species